ensembl:lncRNA
GCAUGCAUCUGCUCCAGACAUGUGUGUCCUCUGUUAAACACGUGAAGCAUGCGUGGCUCCGUCUGUCAUCUCCACAUGCAAUUAUGACUGAAUCCUGCAGCAGUCAGCGCAUAUAUCAGAUGUCAAGAGAAUGCACUAAUAUAACGUAUUUUCUUGUCAUGAAGUGAUUUGAGAGUUAGCAAAGAGAACAUUUUAGCAAGUGCCAUGAUGCAUCAAGCCAUUACAUUAUAAAAAAUUAGCGAGAUGCAUUAAUAAAACGCGCAGUUUUUCCUGACAACACACACGAUCUGGUGCAAUGGUUCUUUUCUCUGGGAAUGGAUGCUCGCUUUGUCUCUCUCUCUCUCUCUCUCUCUCUCUCUCGGCCCCUCCCCUCAUGUUCUCUAUCUCAUUCUCUCGCGCUCAGUCCAUCAUUCUUUCGGCUCUCGGGUCUCGGUGCUUGUUUGCUGACGAACAGAAUCGCUAAAGGAUGUAAAUGAAUGAAAGGAAAGAGCUGAAACAAAAGCAAACGAACCACAAUGGAGGAGCGUUUAGCUGUGCGUGUGAUGCUGCAGAGCCUCCUCUAACUUUCAUCCUUCACUUUCAUUUGGAGCUGAAGACACGAGGACACGUUUCAGCUCGUGUCGAAAGCGUCUCGUGGAUGUUGAGCUCUGCUUCAGUCCACACAGAUGUGACAGACAAACUCGGGUGGAUCUGACCUGAACUGAUGUCACUUCCGUUACUUCCUGUUAUGACCUCACCUGGAAACAAACAAACACCAUCAGAAAGGAUUUUUUUUUUUUUUUGACUCAGUGCAGAAAACUAAAACACUGUGGAUAUUUGCUGAUAUCCAGCAUUAAACCAGGUAAGUGAAUCUAGUAAUGCACAUGCCGUUAUUUUGUUGCAUUUAAACAUAUGCACAGCUCUAUUUCAUACACACACACUCACCGCAAGCUCUCUGGAUGUAUUACAAAAUCUGUAAAUGAAUAUAUUAAUAACACUUGGAUUCAUUCACCUGAUUCAAUCAUUAAUACUGCAAUGAGUAACUGCGUAUCAGUAAAGCUGUAAUUCACCAUUGUGUGCUUGAGUAAUACUGAAUGUGUGAUGAUUUUCAAUAAAGCUUCUGAUUUACGACA